rnacentral:rRNA from 1 species
GUAGGUGGUAAGCGUUGUCCGGAAUUAUUGGGCGUAAAGCGCGCGCAGGCGGUUCUUUAAGUCUGAUGUGAAAGCCCACGGGCUCAACCGUGGAGGGUCAUUGGAAACUGGAGAACUUGAGUACAGAAGAGGAAAGCGGAAUUCCACGUGUAGCGGUGAAAUGCGUAGAGAUGUGGAGGAACACCAGUGGCGAAGGCGGCUUUCUGGUCUGUAACUGACGCUGAGGCGCGAAAGCGUGGGGAGCAAACAGGAUUAGAUACCCUGGUAGUCCACGCCGUAAACGAUGAGUGCUAAGUGUUAGGGGGUUUCCGCCCCUUAGUGCUGCAGCUAACGCAUUAAGCACUCCGCCUGGGGAGUACGGCCGCAAAGGCUG